GUACUCUGGUUUCUCUUCGGAUCGCAUAAAUCUUUUGCCUUUAAAGAUUUCUGUGGAGAGGAACGAUUCUGAGUCUUUAUCCAAUUCUUUGAGACCUUGUUUCGGCAAGGCC